UACCCAGAUAGCAAGCUUAUGUUGGCCCAACGUUGGCUUAUGGUUGUAAGGUUGGCUACAUAUCGCUGUUGGUUGAACGACGUUGGACCAACAUUGGACCAACCUUGUAUUUAUCACUGUUGGUGCAUUGGCAUCGUUCCAAUAUUGGACCAACGUAGUUCAUCCAACGUUGGAACAUAAACAUUGUGCCAACAUUGGGCCAAUAUCAAAUUGAUCUCGGUGGGCGCGAAUACACUGCACCGAUGUCGGGCCGACGGACUAAAAUGUGUGAAAUGUGUAAAAUAUAACGGUUACUAUAAAUAUAAAUGUAUUCAAAUGAAUUUCAGAUUUAGAAUUUUAGUUAAUUUUUUAAAAAUGUACAUGACUAUAUUAUGUGUGUCCAUCAUGAAGCAUUUUACUUGUCUACACUUUGAAUGAAAUGCAGCAUCAAUGCAUAGUAACUUUUCUGCACUCGUGAAUGAAACAUUACCGCCAAAAGAACGGUGAUGUCAUUUUUGACAAAUCCAUCAGAGUAACUUAACUUGAUCUUAUGCUAUCAUCAUGGCUGCCUGUAGGAAUAAUACAUCCUCCUGCUGAUGUUCAAACUCGGUGACAUGGCUGUCUCCUAUAUUAUUUGUGAAGAUGAAUAGAACCAUGCAGUUUAUCGGCUCAAGUUAAGGAACAUCUAAGCAGCAUUUUGCAGAAACGGGCUUUUGAAGUUAUCAACGAGGUCAGAACUAGAGAACUAAACUGGAACUGAACUAAACAUAGUGACCAAACGCAUUUACUGUGAUUCGUUAUUCAUCUGAUAGGGAAAGGGGAUGAAAAUAGGAGUAAAGAAAACAAAUGAAGAAGAUUGAAGGGAUGUGGAAGUAUAUAGAUCGACUAUAAAAAACCAUUUGAAAAUUUGAAUAUUGAUUAUAUUUCUGUGAGAAAACAAUAAAGAUUAGACUUACUGUUAA